CAAAACCUCUCAGCCAAUUGCUUUAUUGCUCUUGUGCUGGUUAUGGGUGUUUUGGAGGACAUGGUCCCUUGUAGACCAGCUCCCGCCUUAAACUUGCUGCACGACCGCAAGCUAUUGUUAGGUUAAUGGAGUGGUAUUUUCUUAUAAUUCCAGCAACUCGUACAUGGCUCUUGUGGCGUUAAACCCAAUGUCGUUUAACGCGACUGAA
rnacentral:misc_RNA from 1 species